UACGGAGGGAGCUAGCGUUGUUCGGAAUUACUGGGCGUAAAGCGCACGUAGGCGGCUAUUCAAGUCAGAGGUGAAAGCCCGGGGCUUAACCCCGGAACUGCCUUUGAAACUAGAUAGCUAGAAUCUUGGAGAGGUCAGUGGAAUUCCGAGUGUAGAGGUGAAAUUCGUAGAUAUUCGGAAGAACACCAGUGGCGAAGGCGACUGACUGGACAAGUAUUGACGCUGAGGUGCGAAAGCGUGGGGAGCAAACAGG
rnacentral:rRNA from 1 species